rnacentral:rRNA from 1 species
GACCCCAGGUCAGGCGGGGAUUACCCCGCUGAG